rnacentral:rRNA from 1 species
UACGUAGGUGGCAAGCGUUGUCCGGAAUUAUUGGGCGUAAAGCGCGCGCAGGCGGUCCUUUAAGUCUGAUGUGAAAGCCCACGGCUCAACCGUGGAGGGUCAUUGGAAACUGGGGGACUUGAGUACAGAAGAGAAGAGUGGAAUUCCACGUGUAGCGGUGAAAUGCGUAGAGAUGUGGAGGAACACCGGUGGCGAAGGCGGUUCUCUGGGCCUUACCUGACGCUGAGGCGCGAAAGCGUGGGGAGCAAACAGG